ensembl:lncRNA
GAGCUAGUAAGCAGCAGAGCCAGGAGUGGAACUUGGUUGUCUUCACCUGGGUUUCCCCCAAAAGCAGAGCCUGAGACAAAGGCUUAUAUGUGAAUAGUGUCUUUGGGAAUGUGACCCAAGGAGGCAGAAAGAGGACAGGAGAGAGAGCCAAUAUGGUGGUGCGCUAUGAAGAUGUCCAUAAGGGUCAACUGGUUGACCAAUCCCAUGGGACCAUCUACGGACACUUAGAAAUGUAUUUCAGGAUCAUCCACUGGCAAGAAAGGGGGAAAGCAUUUAUCCACUGGCUCUGGUUCCCCACUGGUCAAGAGUUGCCCUAUAGGGUAUUAACUCUUCUGUAUUUCUGAGUUGCACAUGCAAAAGGCUUGGAAUCCUGCAUAGAACUGGCCACAGCGGCAGAGGCUGGAAUAAGAUUCCAGGCGGUGGAGACUUGAAGUGGUGUCUAAGGGCAGUGCUCUGGACACAGGUCCCACCACACUGUCCUAGAUAUGCUUCCAACUCAGCCCCUCCCCUCCUCGGCCUUGCCCUUUGCAGGCAGAAUACCAAGGGCUGCCUCCAGAAGUCUGUGACAUUGAGGACCCUGAGUUCAAGCGAGCUGCCUCUGGCCCUCCUUUCAUUUGCAUGAAAUACUGGCCAGGGCUUUCCAGCUGAACCCCCACCACCGAGAGCUCAAACCAGAAAAGCAAUCAACAUCUGGCUACCUCGCUCGCAGAGACCCAUCACAUCCAUCAUCUGGGCAGGAGAGGCUUCCUGCAACCCACAAGCACAUUCUGCAAUUCCCCUGCAGAUCCCUUGUCAAACUGAGCCCCUGGCUUCCGUUCAUUCUUCAAAGCAAAGAAGCCUGCAAUGAUCUGAAUGCAAACAAGAGCAAAACUCCCAGCAACAGCCUUCCUGUGCUCAAAUUCAGAGUAGAAUGAAGUCUCAUUCCAGCACCCUCCAACCCCAGAGAGGUUCUGAGAUGACCCAGACCACAGUCACGGGGGCACAGGCCCUAUAGUUCAGAGGCAGUUGAGCACCUUGACCCUCAGCCAGGACCCGGGGUCAGCUCACAGGGAUGGAAUGAAGACAGCAAAAAUGGCUCCUAACCCUAGCCCCGGUGUUUGGGUUUUUUUCUCCCUUGACCUGUCUCUACCCCAGCAAAAUUCCCUGGCCCUGGAUCCCAUUCCUUCAGUCUCUUGGUCUGUGCUGGGAGGCCCUUUUCUGUGCCUGCUGGUCUGUUACUUACAGCAGAUGGUGAUCCAUGGCUGCAUCAUCCCCACAGAGGCAACAUUUGCAUUUCAGUGAGUCCUGAAGAUUAUGCCUGAAGCUCCACCAAUGUCCCCACAGAAGCUGCAGGCCAGUAGGAGUCAUGGUUAGGGGCAUGUGAGUGCCUUCUACCCCCGUAGGGCUUCAAAUCACACACCCAGGUUCUCUGGAGCUACAAGACAUGAUCCCCUGAAGGACAUUCUGGGCAUAGGAUUCUUCGAAUGUCCAUGGCUGUGAGAGAGGGAGGCUAUUCCAGGGCAAACACAGACAUAAACCAACAAAGCAGAGGUUGCCAUCCUCCAGGAUGCCAAGGACUCUAAACCAACUCCUGGGUUGCUCCCUUGAACAGAUAAGCAAAUCAGAAUCCUUGGAGAGAACCCACAUCCUGCUGGUCUCCUUGGCUUACAGGUCCUACAGAUGCCAGGACUCUUCCUAAGGAGGCUGCUGAUGGGGGCAGGGACGGGGGAGGGGAGGAUGGUGCUAAGCACUGGCCAGGGAAGGACCUUUUGGGCUUAGCAAGACUCCUAUUGCCAAAGACGGGAAAAGAAAGAUGGGCCCCAGAGCUGAUUGCAGGCUGCCCAAGUGCUAGGAUAUCACCGCCUUUCACAGCAGCCAUGGCAAGCCCCCACCUGCUCCAUCCCCAGGCUCCUGGUAGGAGUCAACAAAACAGAUCUGUCUUCAUAAAUCCAG